GCGCCGAUGGGGUAGUGGUAACCUGGGUCGUUGCCAUUCGAGUAAUCUGAGUCUCGACCCGCCGGGGGUUCAAUUCCCUCUCGGCGCA